rnacentral:rRNA from 1 species
UGGGGAAUAUUGCACAAUGGGCGAAAGCCUGAUGCAGCAACGCCGCGUGAGUGAUGAAGGUCUUCGGAUUGUAAAGCUCUGUCUUUUGGGACGAUAAUGACGGUACCAAAGGAGGAAGCCACGGCUAACUACGUGCCAGCAGCCGCGGUAAUACGUAGGUGGCGAGCGUUGUCCGGAUUUACUGGGCGUAAAGGGUGCGUAGGCGGAUGUUUAAGUGAGAUGUGAAGUACCCGGGCUUAACUUGGGUGCUGCAUUUCAAACUGGAUAUCUAGAGUGCAGGAGAGGAGAAUGGAAUUCCUAGUGUAGCGGUGAAAUGCGUAGAGAUUAGGAAGAACACCAGUGGCGAAGGCGAUUCUCUGGACUGUAACUGACGCUGAGGCACGAAAGCGUGGGUAGCAAACAGGAUUAGAUACCCUGGUAGUCCACGCCGUAAACGAUGAGUACUAGGUGUAGGAGGUAUCGACCCCUUCUGUGCCGCAGUAAACACAUUAAGUACUCCGCC